GGGAGGGAGGGUGAGAAACAGAGAGAGAGAGAGAGUGAGAAACAGAGAGAGAGGGAGAGAGAGAGAGGGUGAGAAACAGAGAGAGAGAGAGAGAGAGACAGGGAGGAGGGGAGAAACAGAGAGAGAGAGAGAGAGAGAGAGAGGGAGGGUGAGAAACGUGAGAAACAGAGAGAGAGAAGGGGGUGAGAAACAGAGAGAGAGAGGGGGUGAGAAACAGAGAGAGAGAGAGAGAGAGAGAGAGGGGUGAGAAACAGAGAGAGAGAGAGAGAGAGAGGGGGUUAGAAACAGACAGAGAGAGAGAGAGGGAGAGGGAGAAACAGAGAGAGAGAGAGAGAGAGAGGGAGGGUGAGAAACGUGAGAAACAGAGAGAGAGAAGGGGUGAGAAACAGAGAGAGAGAGGGGGUGAGAAACAGAGAGAGAGAGAGAGAGAGAGAGAGGGAGGGUGAGAAACAGAGAGAGAGAGAGAGAGGGUUAGAAACAGAGAGAGAGAGAGGGUGAGAAACAGAGAGAGAGAGAGGGUGAGAAACAGACAGAGAGAGGGUGAGAAGGGAGGGUGAAAGAGAGGGAGGGUGAAAAACAGAGAAAGAGAGAGAGGGAGGUUGAGAAACAGAUAAAGAGAGAGAGAGAGAGAGAGAGAGAGAGGGAGGGUGAGAAACAGAUAAAGAGAGAGAGGGAGGGAGGGAAACAGA
ensembl:lncRNA